rnacentral:misc_RNA from 1 species
UUCUGUAGCAGAGCUUAACGGAGACCUUGCACCCGAGAGGGGGAAGGCGACUAUAAAUAAGCUUCUAGCGCAAGUCAGCACUGCUGGCAACACAAUCGAAUUGCGGGGACGCUUUAAAGCCUACCGGUACCAACCGCCCUGUCCAGGGUGGGGCGAGCAUGCUCGGGGUCACAAUCUGGUAGGAUGGUACAAUAAGCAAUCCGCAGCGGCCCAGCCGUCCACAGACUAAGUGGUUGUGGGUAGGAGAUCCCUAUCUAAGAUAUAGUCGGGCCCAAGGAGAGAUUCUUGGGGCUUCUGCGUCCGUAGGUGAACCUGCGGAAGGAUCAUUAAUCAGGACCCCCUGGGUACGUCCCCGGGGUAUCCCCACCCGUGUCUAUCUACUCUUGUUGCUUUGGCAGGCCGUGGUCUCCACUGUGGGCUCUGCCUACAUGUGCCUGCCAGAGGACCAAACUCUGAAUGUUAGUGAUGUCUGAGUACUAUAUAAUAGUUAAAACUUUCAACAACGGAUCUCUUGGUUCUGGCAUCGAUGAAGAACGCAGCGAAAUGCGAUAAGUAAUGUGAAUUGCAGAAUUCAGUGAAUCAUCGAAUCUUUGAACGCACAUUGCGCCCUGUGGUAUUCCGCAGGGCAUGCCUGUUCGAGCGUCAUUAUAACCACUCAAGCUUGGCUUGGUAUUGGAGCUUGCAGUCUCGCAGCUUCUAAAAUCAGUGGCGGUGCCGGUGGGCUCUACGCGUAGUAAUUCUCCUCGCGAUUGAGUUCCUCUGGUGGCUUGCCAAAAUCCCCAAUUUUUCAGGUUGACCUCGGAUCAGGUAGGGAUACCCGCUGAACUUAAGCAUAUCAAUAAGCGGAGGAAAAGAAACCAACAGGGAUUACCUCAGUAACGGCGAGUGAAGCGGUAACAGCUCAAAUUUGAAAGCUGCCAACAGGCCGCGUUGUAAUUUGUAGAAGAUGCUUUGGGUGUCGGCCUAGUCUAAGUUCCUUGGAACAGGACGUCAUAGAGGGUGAGAAUCCCGUAUGUGACUAAUGCUGGCGCCCGUGUAAAGCUCUUUCGACGAGUCGAGUUGUUUGGGAAUGCAGCUCAAAAUGGGUGGUAAAUUUCAUCUAAAGCUAAAUAUUGGCCAGAGACCGAUAGCGCACAAGUAGAGUGAUCGAAAGAUGAAAAGCACUUUGGAAAGAGAGUUAAACAGUACGUGAAAUUGUUGAAAGGGAAGCGCUUGCAAUCAGACUUGCAGGUAGUCGAUCAUCCGAGGUUCUCCCCGGUGCACUCGAUUAUCUUCAGGCCAGCAUCGGUUUCGGUGGCGGGAUAAAGGCUGUGGGAAUGUGGCUCUUCGGAGUGUUAUAGCCCACGGUGCAAUGCCGCCUACCGGGACCGAGGACCGC